GGGGGGACACACUAGCACCCCAAGCCUCCGGUCCCAGAACGUGUGAAUACAUAAAGUACCAUCCGCACUUUGCUGGUUCCUUUACUCCUGUUCUAGAUUGCUCCUGCAGAGCCGUGCAAAGCAGGCAUGUCAAAUGGAAGGGAGAUGCUGAGCGGGAAGACACGGGGAGACUCUUCUGCAGAGGGAAUGUUUAUUUCCGAGACGCGUGGGGAACGGGUGGGGGCGCCUCGCACAGCUGUUUUCCAGGAAAUCGUCCACUUCACCCAGGGGGAGCUCGAAAUUGUAAUGACCAGCCAGUGUGGAAGAACCGGAAAGAGAAGAAAACAAGCAGGGAUGGAGCAGAAACCCAGCGACACGCAGCAUAAACUGUGGUUCCCAGAUCCCGCCAGAAUGGUUGCUGUUUCUUAUUCCUGGAAACUUGGGUGUGUGGCUGGCAUAAUUGCCUGUUGGAUCAGAGCACAGGAGGAUAAAUGCAAACUAGAGGGCCGAACCCCACCUUGUCAUAACUAGAGGGCAGUUCUCUCCGAAGAUGAAAAGGCGUCAGAUCCUUGGUUGAAUUGAUCACCUACGCGUCCAUCUGCUGCUGAAUGGCAAAGUAAACUUUCUUCCCUGCGGCUUUUGUUUCCGAAUCAAUGAGAGACAAAGGCUACCUCUGCUCCAUUCAGGCCGUUUGAAUGAUGCUCAAAUCAAAGUGCAAGCAGUAGUUGGAGCAUUUACGGCACACCGUGAAGAAAAGCGUGCUUAUUAACCUUGUAAACAUGCUACAGAAGUACAGGGGAACAAGCAAAAAGAAUCGCCAAGCGCCCUUUGUAUGCGCUAGCCCUUUGUACUCUGCAAUGUUCCUAUGCCCAUAAAAUAGAAGUGAGCAGAGGCGCUCGGGCCGUGCCUAGCGCUCGCAGGAAUGACUGCCACCUUGCUUCUCGGCUUCUGCACACUCAGAAGAUUACGUUACCUCUCCUCCAGAUCAGCUCCACUUAAAACAACACUUUCGACCGUAUUUAGCCCGGCGGGCGUCGGAGGGGGAUUCAAAGGGCUAAUUGAAUGCUGAGUGUUUGAGCCUUCAAAGGAAGACCCAGGGCAGCCUGGCAGGAAGCAGGGAUUAAACAAGAGGAUGCAUUGAAACCUGCCCUGCAGACUGGAGGUGCAGCUAUGCACAGAAGCCGGGAAGUUCCAAGUCCCCCGCGUGUUAGGGGUGCAUCCCUCCAGCAGCCUCUGGCCUUUACUGCACGGCAUUUUGUCCUCUGAGUGCCACAGUAAUUCACCAAAAAAAUGUACUUUAGGAAGAGUGACCCAGGCUCCCGAGGAAGGGCCCCCCCACACACCCCACACCCCGCACCGGCUCUGGCCCGAGUCUCCACCUGUGUCUUUCCCACCCAUCUGCACGGUUUGCCAUCUCCUCGGCGUUCCUGCCCCUGGAAGGGGCUGAGCCGAACGCGUCCGUGCAGGGCUGUGGUUUUCUCCGGCCUGGGCCAGCAAGGGCCGAGCUCGGCUGAAGAACGUCCAGAAAACCGCGUAAGGGAGAUUUCUGAAGAAGACAGCAGUCUGAUGGUUUCCAUUUAAAUCCUUGGUCCUCCUCUCCUCCCCCUCCAGGCCCCGCCUGCCCCAAUGCAAGUGGCAGGAAGCUAACAGCGAUUAUCGAAUGAGCUCAGCUGCCUGGAGUUGUUUUUCUUAUAAAAAAAAAAAAAAAAAAGAAAAGAAAAGAAAAGAAAAAGUGAGGGUGGGUGGGUGGGAUAGAGACGUUCUGCGCAGAAGAUCCUAGAGACACAGAAAACAACUUCGGCUAAAAUCCCAGAAGUUUGCUGCCAGGGAUAAAGUACAUACCUGGACACCUCCACCCCCAAAAAAGUUGCCUGACCGGAUUGGUUGACUCCGCAGGCUGCGGGCAGAGGUGCACAGGACCUGAUCGUUGGAUCCAGUCCCAUGGCGCUGGAUUGCCCAGGAAGUACUCACAGCUCAAGGCUACUGCAUGGCAACACUGUGGUCUUUGAAUUACCAGGCCUGAGACGCGGUGCGGUCCGAGGACUCCCUAGCCACAGGCGGGCACUGCCCCGGCCUCUCUGCAGCCCCAGGGCUGGGGCAGGGGCGGCGUGGGGGACCCUGGCCAUCACAGCCUCUGCGCUCCUCGGCGGCCUCUCCCUUUGCCCUUGGGGCUGCAGCCGCUGGCGUUUGGAGCGCUUUGCAUCCCCACGAAUCCCACUCCAGGCUCUCUCUCUCUCUCUCUUUUUCCCCUGUCUCCAUCAGGAAGUGGAGAGCCAGGCCCCAGAUUCUUUCUGCUCUGAUGAUGUAAACAAAUUGCAGAGGAAGUCAAGUCAAACUUUCCCUUGCUUCUUUUGUUCUCCCAACUAGCAAUUCAGACAGCAGGGCCAACUCUUCCUGGAUGCCUUUUAAAGGUUGUUCUUAACUGGAAAGGAAGAAACCCGUUGGCCUGUAUUUUUUCUGUAUCUGUAGAACAAAGAUUCACCUAAAUGCAUGUUUUAACAAAACAGAAAACCCUAGAAGUUAGGAAAAGGCUGCUUUGUUUUGUUUUUGUCAUUACCCAGCUGGCUGAUUGCUGCUCUUUCCCUCAGAAAUCUCCAGGCUGAAGCAGAGAUAGCAAAGCCAUCCUGAUCUUCCUGUGGACAAUUUCUAAACCCGAAUCAGAACUGCUACUGCCCUCAUUCACAGCCAAGGAAAGCUAACAGUCAUGAUUCAAUUAAGGCUGCCCCCACACGGCAGGCACCAGACAGACAGGAGACAUCUUAUCUGUUCCAUCUGCAGAUACUGCUUUAAAAAUCACGGCUAAUUAAGCCCUUCCCAUAGUGGAGACUACUUGAACCUUUAUCCUUCGCUUGUAAGAUUUCAUCUCUGGGUUUCACUGACAGCGCUGAGAGCCAGCAUUUUCAAACCAGAGGCACCUGAUGAUCUAGGUGAACUAUUUACCACACCUAUCCUAGUCAUCUAAUAAAAGAAGCUGUGUACCAAGUAACCGAAGGAGAACAGAAUGGAAAUAUAUCGCAAACACUUGCAGGGCUGCACCCAACGCUGCUCCCCCGGGGUUGGUGUUCUGUGACAUUUACUCUGGCACAAGAGAUAAAGAUGCUGUAGCCAGGGGGAUAUUAACAUGCCUACUCUGUUGGCCGAGGCCAUAGUGUCCUUCCCUGCAGCCAGAACUGUUUUAACACAGCCCGAUUCCUUCCUGAAAAAUCUUGGAAUUCAAAUACAA